UCUAGCUCGACGACCCGCGACUGCGGACCACCCUUGUUUGAAUCCUCUUUCCAGCACCAAUGUGCUUGUGGUCAUGGAUCGUCCAUGCAUGAAGCGGGAAGAGAGAAUCGAAGCCCGGAAGCUUCGAGUCUUCCGGCGGUUCCAACGGUUUUCCGGCCAUCAUCGGGGUUGCAUGAGCCAUUUCGAGACAUUUUCCAGCAACUCCGGUGGUGGUCUGGCUUUCCUGGCAUGCGAAAGUUGGCCUACUUCUUGUGCUCUACACGCUUGUAAUUGGUGAAGUAGUGGAAAGGGAGAGCAAAGGGAGAAUUUGUCAAGAUUGCUGUGUUCUUCAUCAAGGGCUUUGACUUGCCAACUCGGACUCUACUUUUGAUUGUAUUUGCUAUCAUGGUUAGUUGGGUUCAGUUUGAAGUUCUGAGCACUGCCUUGUAUGGUUAGCUUCUGGAAUUGAUUUCAUGCUUACUGCAUGUCGUGUUAUGAAAAUGGUGAUUGGGACUUGGUUCAUUCUUGGACAACUAGUUAUAAUAUGUGGAAUUGAGAGAUUUAGUUAUUAUUCUGAUCUAUAAAGUGUAGAUAAUGGACUGUUGUACUAAUUGAAUCAAACCAAGUCAAUUGGUGUUGAAAAAGGAAGGA